GACGAACGCUGGCGGCGUGCCUAAUACAUGCAAGUAGAACGCUGAAGGAGGAGCUUGCUCUUCUGGAUGAGUUGCGAACGGGUGAGUAACGCGUAGGUAACCUGCCUGGUAGCGGGGGAUAACUAUUGGAAACGAUAGCUAAUACCGCAUAACAGUAGAUGUUGCAUGACAUUUGCUUAAAAGGUGCAAUUGCAUCACUACCAGAUGGACCUGCGUUGUAUUAGCUAGUUGGUGGGGUAACGGCUCACCAAGGCGACGAUACAUAGCCGACCUGAGAGGGGGAUCGGCCACACUGGGACUGAGACACGGCCCAGACUCCUACGGGAAGCAGCAGUAGGGAAUAUUCGGCAAUGGACGGAAGUCUGAGCGAGCAACGCCGCGUGAGUGAAGAAGGGUUUCGGAUCGUAAAGAUCUGUUGUAAGAGAAGAACGAGUGUGAGAGUGGAAAGUUCACACUGUGACGGUAUCUUACCAGAAAGGGACGGCUAACUACGUG
rnacentral:rRNA from 1 species